CCAGACUCCUACGGGAGGCAGCAGUAGGGAAUCUUCGGCAAUGGACGAAAGUCUGACCGAGCAACGCCGCGUGAAGGAAGAAGGCUUUCGGGUUGUAAACUUCUUUUAAGGGGGAAGAGCAGAAGACGGUACCCCUUGAAUAAGCCACGGCUAACUACGUGCCAGCAGCCGCGGUAAUACGUAGAUGGCAAGCGUUGUCCGGAUUUACUGGGUGUAAAGGGCGUGCAGCCGGGAAGACAAGUCAGAUGUGAAAUCCCGCGGCUCAACCGCGGAACUGCAUUUGAAACUGUUUUUCUUGAGUACCGGAGAGGUCAUCGGAAUUCCUUGUGUAGCGGUGAAAUGCGUAGAUAUAAGGAAGAACACCAGUGGCGAAGGCGGAUGACUGGACGGCAACUGACGGUGAGGCGCGAAAGCGUGGGGAGCAAACAGGAUUAGAUACCCGAGUA
rnacentral:rRNA from 1 species